AUGGCAGAUUUGAAGCAAAUACGGAAGCCUGUUGGCAGGUCAGUGGCAGCACCAACUAUUCGCCCAGCUACUUGGCAGUCGCCACCGGAGAAUCAUGUUAAAAUUAAUGUUGAUGCGGCAGUGUCGCGUGCAUGUGAAUUUGGGGCUGUGGGAGCCAUUUGCCGCGAUGCAUCAGGGGUGUAUUAGGGGUCCUCGGCAGUUAUAUUCAACAACAUAGAAGAUCCAGAGGUUUUGGAAGUCCUAGCUACCAGGGAAGCACCGGCGCUUGCCGAGGACCUGUACGAGCAUAAAGUUUUCAUCGCCUCGGACUGCAUGGUAGCGGUGGAGGCGAUUAGAGGAGGAACAACAGCAUCGUACGGAGCACUGGUGCAUGAAAUAACGGAGAGAGCUCGUUUUUUCACUUCUUGCAUUUUUAGUCAUGAAUUUCGGACCUCGAACUUUGAGGCCCACAACCUCGCGAAGCAUGCGUUAACGUUGGGGACUGUCCGUCAUGUUUGGUUAGGCCACCCCCCGCGAUCUUUUGUUCAUCCUUGUAAACAUUGUGACGGUUGA
rnacentral:rRNA from 1 species